rnacentral:rRNA from 1 species
CAGCAGCCGCGGGAAUACGAAGGGGGCUAGCGUUGUUCGGAUUUACUGGGCGUAAAGCGCACGUAGGCGGACUUUUAAGUCAGGGGUGAAAUCCCGGGGCUCAACCCCGGAACCGCCUUUGAUACUGGAAGUCUUGAGUAUGGUAGAGGUGAGUGGAAUUCCGAGUGUAGAGGUGAAAUUCGUAGAUAUUCGGAGGAACACCAGUGGCGAAGGCGGCUCACUGGACCAUUACUGACGCUGAGGUGCGAAAGCGUGGGGAGCAAACAGGAUUAGAUACCCCCGUAGUCCCUGUCUCUUAUAC